CCCAACUCUCUCACACAACAACAUAAACUCCAAAUACAAAAAAAAAUGGACUCGAGAACAUCAUUUCUCACAUUGUUCCUCUGUAUAUUCCUUUUCUCUCAUUUCACCCCCUCAAAUUCCAAACCUGUCACAAACGACCCUUUAUCAUUCUCUUCGUCGGCGAGUUUGCCCACUCUUACGGCGGAGAGGUUAAUCAAAGGUUUCAACUUGAUGCCUACCCGUGAUGUCAAUGUCAUCCCUGAAGACGGUUCUGAGGCUCCGAGACUCGUCGAGAGAAACUUUGAUUUACCGGCGACCAUUGACCGUCGUGACUCCGGCGGUUCUCCUUCGCUUCAGGAUUUUGGUCACCAUGCUGGUUACUACAAACUUCCUAAUUCAAAAGCAGCCAGGAUGUUCUAUUCUUCUUCGAGUCAAGAAGCAACAAAGCAGACCCUGUGGUGAUUUGGCUAACCGGUGGACCCGGUUGCAGUAGCGAACUGGCUCUGUUCUAUGAGAACGGACCGUUCACCGUCUCCAACAACUCAUCUCUUGCUUGGAACGAUUUCGGUUGGGACAAGGCAUCAAAUCUAAUCUACGUGGACCAACCGGUAGGGACUGGUUUUAGUUACACAUCGGACGAAAGUGAUCUCCGACAUGAUGAGGAUGGUGUCAGUAAUGACCUUUACGACUUCUUACAAGCAUUUUUCAAAGAACAUCCACAGUUCGUGAAGAAUGAUUUUUACAUUACUGGUGAAUCCUACGCCGGACAUUACAUUCCGGCAUUGGCUUCAAGAGUUCACCGUGGAAACAAGAACAAGGAAGGAACUCACAUCAACCUUAAGGGCUUUGCGAUUGGUAAUGGUUUGACCAACCCAGAGAUCCAAUAUGCUGCAUACGCGGAUUACGCGCUAGACAUGAAGUUGAUCUCACAAUCUGAUCACGAUAACCUCAACCGUGAUUACGAAACUUGCCAACAAUCCAUCAAAGAAUGCAGCGCUGAUGGAGGUGGUGAAGCUUGUGCGUCUUCUUACAUUGUCUGCAACAACAUAUUCCAAAAGAUCAUGAAUAUCGCUGGAAACGUAAACUAUUACGACGUGAGGAAACAAUGUAAAGGAAGCUUAUGCUAUGAUUUCUCGAACAUGGAGAAGUUCUUGAACCAGAAAUCCGUUCGCACGGCAUUAGGUGUUGGAGAUAUCGAGUUUGUGUCUUGCAGUACUGCCGUCUAUGAUGCAAUGCAGCUGGAUUGGAUGCGAAAUCUUGAGGUCGGGAUUCCCGCUCUCCUCGAAGAUGGAAUCAAGAUGCUUAUCUAUGCUGGAGAAUACGAUCUCAUCUGCAAUUGGCUUGGAAACUCGAAAUGGGUUCACGAGAUGGAAUGGUCGGGCCGAAAGGAGUUUGUAGCAGCUGCAACUGUUCCAUUCAAUGUAGAUAAUAGAGAAGCCGGUUUAAUGAAGAACCACGGUUCACUCACUUUCCUCAAGGUCCACGAUGCUGGACACAUGGUUCCAAUGGAUCAGCCAAAAGCGGCAUUGCAAAUGCUUAAGGAUUGGAUGCAAGGAAAGCUCGGUACACCCACCGGUCGGACCGCUCGCCAGUGAUUUCAUUUCUUCUCAACAGCAGUGAUUCUAAAUACCAAGCCGAUUGUACUGUUAUUAUGCAUCUAGAUCAUCAUUUUUUAACUUAUAAUAUUACUUGUGAAUUAUUUCGACAGGAAACUUCAUUGUUAUAAACGUGAAAAGAAAACUAAAGUUGUUAUCUU